GACGAACGCUGGCGGCGUGCUUAACACAUGCAAGUCGAACGGAAAGGCCCCUUUGGGGGUACUCGAGUGGCGAACGGGUGAGUAACACGUGAGUAACCUGCCCUUGACUUCGGGAUAACUUCAGGAAACUGGGGCUAAUACCGGAUAGGAAUCCUUGCUGCAUGGUGGGGGUUGGAAAGCUUCGGCGGUUUUGGAUGGACUCGCGGCUUAUCAGCUUGUUGGUGGGGUAGUGGCUUACCAAGGCUUUGACGGGUAGCCGGCCUGGGAGGGCGACCGGCCACAUUGGGACUGAGAUACGGCCCAGACUCCUACGGGAGGCAGCAGGGGGGAAUAUUGCACAAUGGGCGGAAGCCUGAUGCAGCAACGCCGCGGGCGGGAUGACGGCCUUCGGGUUGUAAACCGCUUUCAGCAGGGGCGAAGCUUGUGGUGACGGUACCUGCAGAAGAAGCACCGGCUAACUACGUG
rnacentral:rRNA from 1 species